UCGGGAAUUUUGGGCAAUGGGCGAAAGCCUGACCCAGCAACGCCGCGUGAGGGAUGAAGUAUUUCGGUAUGUAAACCUCGAAAGAAUGGGAAGAAUAAAUGACGGUACCAUUUAUAAGCUCCGGCUAACUACGUGCCAGCAGCCGCGGUAAUACGUAGGGAGCAAGCGUUGUUCGGAUUUACUGGGCGUAAAGGGCGCGUAGGCGGCGCGGUAAGUCACUUGUGAAAUCUCUGAGCUUAACUCAGAACGGCCAAGUGAUACUGCUGUGCUAGAGUGCGGAAGAGGCAACCGGAAUUCUUGGUGUAGCGGUGAAAUGCGUAGAUAUCAAGAGGAACACCUGAGGCGAAGGCGGGUUGCUGGGCCGACACUGACGCUGAUGCGCGAAAGCCAGGGGUGCAAACG
rnacentral:rRNA from 1 species